rnacentral:rRNA from 1 species
GAUCCUGGCUCAGAUUGAACGCUGGCGGCAGGCCUAACACAUGCAAGUCGAGCGGAUGAAGGGAGCUUGCUCCUGGAUUCAGCGGCGGACGGGUGAGUAAUGCCUAGGAAUCUGCCUGGUAGUGGGGGAUAACGUCCGGAAACGGGCGCUAAUACCGCAUACGUCCUGAGGGAGAAAGUGGGGGAUCUUCGGACCUCACGCUAUCAGAUGAGCCUAGGUCGGAUUAGCUAGUUGGUGGGGUAAAGGCCUACCAAGGCGACGAUCCGUAACUGGUCUGAGAGGAUGAUCAGUCACACUGGAACUGAGACACGGUCCAGACUCCUACGGGAGGCAGCAGUGGGGAAUAUUGGACAAUGGGCGAAAGCCUGAUCCAGCCAUGCCGCGUGUGUGAAGAAGGUCUUCGGAUUGUAAAGCACUUUAAGUUGGGAGGAAGGGCAGUAAGUUAAUACCUUGCUGUUUUGACGUUACCAACAGAAUAAGCACCGGCUAACUUCGUGCCAGCAGCCGCGGUAAUACGAAGGGUGCAAGCGUUAAUCGGAAUUACUGGGCGUAAAGCGCGCGUAGGUGGUUCAGCAAGUUGGAUGUGAAAUCCCCGGGCUCAACCUGGGAACUGCAUCCAAAACUACUGAGCUAGAGUACGGUAGAGGGUGGUGGAAUUUCCUGUGUAGCGGUGAAAUGCGUAGAUAUAGGAAGGAACACCAGUGGCGAAGGCGACCACCUGGACUGAUACUGACACUGAGGUGCGAAAGCGUGGGGAGCAAACAGGAUUAGAUACCCUGGUAGUCCACGCCGUAAACGAUGUCGACUAGCCGUUGGGAUCCUUGAGAUCUUAGUGGCGCAGCUAACGCGAUAAGUCGACCGCCUGGGGAGUACGGCCGCAAGGUUAAAA